AUUGAACGCUGGCGGCAUGCCUUACACAUGCAAGUCGAACGGUAACAGGUCUUCGGAUGCUGACGAGUGGCGAACGGGUGAGUAAUACAUCGGAACGUGCCUAGUAGGGGGGGAUAACUACUCGAAAGAGUGGCUAAUACCGCAUGAGAUCUACGGAUGAAAGCAGGGGAUCGCAAGACCUUGUGCUACUAGAGCGGCCGAUGGCAGAUUAGGUAGUUGGUGGGAUAAAAGCUUACGAAGCCGACGAUCUGUAGCUGGUCUGAGAGGACGAUCAGCCACACUGGGACUGAGACACGGCCCAGACUCCUACGGGAGGCAGCAGUGGGGAAUUUUGGACAAUGGGCGCAAGCCUGAUCCAGCAAUGCCGCGUGCAGGAUGAAGGCCUUCGGGUUGUAAACUGCUUUUGUACGGAACGAAAAGCCCUGGGUUAAUACCCUGGGGUCAUGACGGUACCGUAAGAAUAAGCACCGGCUAACUACGUGCCAGCAGCCGCGGUAAUAC
rnacentral:rRNA from 1 species